GCCGAAAUAGCUCAGUUGGUAGAGCGACGCUCUCGUAAAGCGUAGGUCGUGGGUUCGACUCCCAUUUUCGGCU
rnacentral:tRNA from 1 species